CUGCCUGAGUGACGGCACUGUGUGGCACUUCUGAUGAUAGCAGCAGCACUGUAGCAGCCACAUCCUGUGAGGUCCAUGCCUGGUGCUUCAGUCCUCGUCAUUGUGACUCAGAACGGGCCCUGUCCCGGGUUCUCAGAAACUUGAUUAUAAUGAGCCUCACUCAGUUCUAAGACUACCAACGUCAUCAGAAUGUGCUGAGGAGUAAAUUUUAGAGAACCUGUGAAGCAUGCUGAAUCAUAACUUGGAAAGCACCCAUGGUCCCCGUUAUCAGCACCUCUGCUUCUCCUUGAUCCCCAGACCGGAGAACUCCUCUUGAUGGCUCUCCUCGUGCAACCUUUCUGCUAAGAGGCUAUUCCGAGGGCAAGCCUCUCUGUGGAUGAAAAGCUUCCAUGUUUUCGGCUGGAUGAAGGAGGUUCCCGAGAGACAGAAGGAAAGCCUGACCUGCCAGCUCUGUGCAGCCUCUGUGGGGUUAUUCUUUUUUUUUUUCUUUUUUU